AAUAAAUGUAGUUAUGUACUAUUCAUGUCUUGACUGUUCAUCUUAUUUGAAAAAAAAAUAUAAUUAGUAUUUUUAUUGUUAUUAGAUGAUAAAAUAUGAAUAUUACUUAUUGUGUGACUAUUUUUUUUUCAAUUUUUUCAUAAAAUUUUUAAAUAAGAUGAUCGGUCAAACGUGUCCUCACGGCUACACUUAUU
rnacentral:pre_miRNA from 1 species